rnacentral:rRNA from 1 species
GAUGAACGCUGGCGGCGUGCCUAAUACAUGCAAGUCGAGCGAACAGACGAGGAGCUUGCUCCUCUGACGUUAGCGGCGGACGGGUGAGUAACACGUGGAUAACCUACCUAUAAGACUGGGAUAACUUCGGGAAACCGGAGCUAAUACCGGAUAAUAUAUUGAACCGCGUGGUUCAAUAGUGAAAGACGGUUUUGCUGUCACUUAUAGAUGGAUCCGCGCCGCAUUAGCUAGUUGGUAAGGUAACGGCUUACCAAGGCGACGAUGCGUAGCCGACCUGAGAGGGUGAUCGGCCACACUGGAACUGAGACACGGUCCAGACUCCUACGGGAGGCAGCAGUAGGGAAUCUUCCGCAAAGGGCGAAAGCUUGACGGAGCAACGCCGCGUGAGUGAUGAAGGUCUUCGGAUCGUAAAACUCUGUUAUUAGGGAAGAACAAAUGUGUAAGUAACUAUGCACGUCUUGACGGUACCUAAUCAGAAAGCCACGGCUAACUACGUG